ACUAAAUGAAAGAAACUGUGCUGAGCUAAAAGAAACCUGAUUCACUUUGCCACAAACGUGAGUUGCUGGAACACGUUUUCUCUUAUUCUAAAUGGACUGCCCAGAUUUUGCCAAAUGUCAAAUUACCUACUGUUGGAUGAAGACUUCUAAUGGCUUCUAUAUUAAUUGGCUUGGCUAGACGUGAAACACAAAAUUCAGAUUCCUUAUUUUUUCUCACCUCACGAGUUCCUCUCUGCCUCUCAUCUCUCUCUCUCUCUCUCUCUCUCUCUCUCUCUCUCGGUGGUCCUUCAAUCUAUCAAUUUUUGCACUCCAAAAAUUAGCCCCUGUUGAUGAGAAAUUAAUCCAACCUUGUAUAGAUAAUCUUGAGUGAUUUAACAAGGUGUAUUGGUGUUAUUCUUGAGUGAAUGCCAUUGUUGAAUGUAUAGAGGCUUAUGUUGAAAUAAUCUUGAGUGAUUGUUUUAUAAGAUUCAAUUCAUCAUUCUUGAGUGAAUGUUGUACGAUUUAUGAGGCUUAAUUUUGGGGGAAAUCUUGUGUGAUUUCGGCUGAGUGCUACGAAGAUUGUACCGGACAGAUUUUGGUUCCAUUGAUAUAGUGAUUUCUUCCGUUUGACGGAAGCUCAAAAGGGGAUUAGGAAUGAAGUUCCGAACCUCUUGCCUUAGGGCAAAAAUAUCGUGUUCCUUUUGUGUUUUUUGCAUUUUUCUUUCAUUUCAAUUUUUUGCAGUUUAUUAUUUUGUUAUUUUUGUUGAUUGAAGUGGGCUGAUUUUCUUGAACUUCUCGUAAUAGUGGUAUCAGAGCAAGUUGACGGUGGUUCUUAGUGUCGGUGUUGGUAGAUUUGAAGGUUUCUUGCACUGGUUCAGUAGAUCUCGUUUAUUUCUUGAAACCUAAGGGAUUUUGGUGAGUUCGUUCCAUAAUUGUCGAGUUACAUACAUAAUAUUUGUCUAUACUGUGAGACUUUUGUGACUGACUUAAAAUCCCUAAAUCUGAGACUUUAUCUUGACAAUUCCUUUGUCUAGAAAUCGUGAGUUGUCUGGAAUAUGAGGAUUGUCUUGAUUUAUAAGUCGACGAUUUUGGACAAAUUUUAUGUUUCUGCAUGAGUUCAUUAUACUGUAUAUGGCAUGUUAUACUUUUGACUUAACACACUGCUGGUUUUUUGUGUAAACUGCUUAUUCAUAUGGUGAAUGGACUGAUGAGAUCUUACUGCAUAACUUGUAUUGUAUAACUCACUUGUUAAUUGUGCACUUUAAAUUUGAUUAUGGUGUAUGUCAUUUGAGUUCCUGCAAGUAGUAUAUACUGUUGACUUUGUGUGUGAUCUGCGUACACUAAUUUUUAAUCAAAUUGUGUUUUGAUUAUGUCAACUAAAGUUGAAUUGGAGAUUUUUAAUGGUAAAGGAGACUUUAGUCUCUGGAUCCAGAAAAUGCGAGCCCUUUUACUUCAACAAAAAUGUAUGAGUCAUGGCCUAAUGAUAAGAAAGAAAUUAAGAAAAUUGAACUUGAUGAAACUGCAUGGAGUUCUAUAUUCUUACACUUGUCUGACAAUGUUUUAAGAGAAAUUGGUGAGACAAAAACUGCUGCUGAGUUGUGGAAAAAAUUGGAAGAUACUUAUUUUAAUAAAAUCAUGCCUAAUAAAGUGUAUCUUCUAAAACAAUUUUUUGGUUUCAAAUUGGACCCAUUUCUUGAUCUUGACGCUAACAUUGAUAGAUCCAAUAGAUUAUUCCGUGACCUAGCCGACUGUGAUGAGAAACUCUCAAAAGAGCAGCUGGCUGUGGUUUUGUUAAAUUCACUAAGUGAUAAGUACAAAGAUGUAAAAAAUGCUAUUGAAUAUGGAAGGGAGACUCUAACUACUGAUGUGAUAAUAAAUGCAUUGAGAAGUAAAGAGUUAGAGUUAAAAUAUGAGAAGAGGGAAUCUAUUAGUGGUGAAAAUUAGAUGGUUGAGUCCAAACCAAACACAAAUCCAAAAAUUGUCAAUUUCAAUAAGCAACCCGGACACAAAAAGAAGUGAACUUUAAAGAUAAAAUGAAAACCAAGACUAAGGGUAAAAAGUGUUUUUACUGUCUAGGUGAUGGUCAUUUUAUAAAAGAUUGCCGUAAGAGACUUAAUGAUUUGAGGAAUAAGUCUACUAAUGAUGGUGGUGCUACUUUCGCCUAUAAUAAUGAGACCAACAUAGAUGAGGUUUAUGUUGUUGUACACACUCCACCUAGUCAGGAGUGGAUACUUGACUCCGGUUGUACCUUUCACAUGUGUCCUAAAAGAGAAUGGUUUAGUGAGUUUGAAAAUGUAAGUGGAGGCCAAAUGUUAAUGGGUAAUCACAUGUCUUGUCAAGUAAAAGGAAUAGGGACAAUCACCUUAAGGUUGGAUGGUAAUAAUGAAUUGAUCUUAGAGAAGACCGGGUAUGUUCUUGACCUACAAAGAAAUUUGAUAUCCUUAGGUGUCCUAGAUGACCUGAACCACAAUAUUAUGAUUAACAAGGGAUACAUUAAGAUCUUGAGGGGCUCUCAACUUAUUGUCGAAGCACCCAAGAGACAUGGGCUUUACAUUUUACAUACUCAAAACUUUUUUGACUCCACAUCAGUAGCAAUUUCUGCCCCCAAUGAUAAGUCACAAUUAUGGCAUAAAAGAUUGGGCCAUAUUAGUGAUAAAAGUCUUCAGAUUUUGAAAAAAUAAGGUGCAUUUGGUAAAGAUGUGAUUGAGAAACUCAAUUUUUGUGAUCAUUACAUACUAGGAAAGCAAAAUAGAUUACCAUUUCUGCCUGGGAAGCAUAAAUCUAUGUCUAUUCUUGAAUAUUUGCAUGCUGAUCUUUGGGGACCAGCCUCUGUGCCAACAUAUACCGAUUUCAGAUUUUUCCUUUUAAUCAUAGAUGAUUUUUCUAGGAAAAACUGACUCUUUCUGCUUAAACAUAAGUCCGAUACUUUUAAUGCUUUUAAAGAAUGGAAAACCUUGAUUGAGAAUCAAACAAAUAAAAAGAUUAAAGUGUUGAGGACUGAUAAUGAGCUUGAGUUUUGCAAUUAUGAAUUUCAUAAAUUGUGCAAAGUGCAUGGUAUUCUAAGACACAGAAUAGUGACACACACCCCACAACAAAAUGACUUGGCUGAAAGAAUGAAUCGAACUAUUCUUGAGAGAGUUAGAUGCAUAUUUUUAGGUUCUGGUCUUCCCAAGUUAUUUUGGGGGGAAGUUGCAAAAACUGCUAGUUAUCUCAUAAAUAGAAGUCCCGCUAGUGCUAUACAAUUUAAAUCCCCUGAAGAAGUUUGGACAAGAAAAUCUGUAGAUUUGAGUAAUCUAAAAAUAUUUGGGUGUGUAGACUUUGCACAUCAAUCUGAAGGGAAACUUGAACCUAGGGCCCUUAAGUGUGUUUUUUUGGGCUGUGGUGAAGUGGUGAAGGGGUAUAGACUUUGGGUAAGAGAAACCAAAGGUUAUAAGAUCAUUAUAAGUAGAAAUAUGGUGUUUAAUGAAUCGGAUCUGCCUUGUUUGAAAUCUGAAAAUAACACAAAUAAAUCUGAUCAGACUGAAAAUGAGGGAAGGGAAACUAAAAUUGAGGUGGAGCAAGUUAAUAAUGAUAAUCUACAAUAUGAUCAGAUUGAAAAUAGUGAAAUUGAGGCUCAAAAUGAUGAAGAAACUGAUCAAAAUGAAUCUGAUUUUGAGAUUAAUCAACCCUUAAAUGAUUAUCAACUUGCUAGAGAUAGAGAAAAGAGAGAAAUAAGACCACCUGUGAGAUUUGAUGAUAAAAUAUCCCUUCUCACUAUUCAGGGGUUCAUUGAGAAUAAACCUGAGUUCUAUAAAGAUGGUUUGAGUAGCAAGGACUCUAAGCAUUGGCUAGAAGCAAUGCAUGAUGAGAUAGAAUCGUUGAGAAAGAAUAAAAAUUGGACCUUGGUUAAAAGACCUAAAGGAAAGAGAGUUAUAGAUUGCAAGUGGAUCUAUAAGAUCAAAAGAAGUGAAAAAGAUGAUAAUGACAUUAGAUACAAUGCAAGACUUGUGUCUAAGGGUUUUGCUCAAAAGGAAGGGAUAGACUUUAAUGAAAUAUUUUCCCCCGUUGUAAAAUUUACAACUGUUAGAGUCAUACUUGUCCUAGCAGCUCAAUUUAAUUGGGAAUUUGAUCAAUUAGAUGUAAAAACUGCGUUUUUAAAUGGAGAUCUUGAAAAAACCAUUUUUAUGGAACAACCUAAAUCAAAAAUCUUAUGCUUUGAAAAUACUUGAAAGAUUUGCAAUGUCCGAUGCUAAAAGCGUGAGUCUACCUUUAGCUAAUCACUUCAAAUUAUCUAAUGAUCAAUGUCCCAAAACUGAAGAAGAGUUUAAAAGAAUGGCUAGAGUGCCAUCUUCUAAUGUUGUGGGGUCAGUUAUGUAUCUAAUGAUUUGUUCUAGACCUGAUUUGGCAUUUGCAAUAAGUGUAUUAAGUAGAUACAUGUCUAAUCCUAGUGAGGUUCAUUGGGAAGCGAUGAAGUGGGUUCUAAGAUACAUUAAGGGAACUUGUGACCUAGGAAUUCAGUAUAGAAAACAAUUUGAGGGUGUUAUCUUGAGGGGUUUCACUGAUUCUGAUUAUGCAAGUGAUAGGGAUAACAGAAAAUCGACUUCUGCCUAUGUAUACACUUUAUGUAAUUCCUGUAUAAGUUGGAAAUCACAAUUACAAAAGAUUGUUUUAUUGUCUUCAACUGAAGCAGAAUAUAUAGCUGCUACUGAUAUAAUUAAAGAGGGAAUUUGGCUAAAAGGACUUCUAAAUGAAUUUGGUUUCAUAAAUGAUGUCGUCUUACAUUCUGAUAGCCAAUCUGCUAUAUAUUUGAGUAGAAAUCCUGUGUUACGUAAUAGAUCUAAAUAUGUUGAUGUGAAAUUUCAUUUUAUUAGAGAUGUAAUUUAUCAAGGUAUUGUUAAACUUGAAAAGAUUUCUACCCAUUUUAAUCCUGCUGAUGUUGGAACUAAAGUACUGCAUUUAAACAAGUUUUUGGACUGUUUAAAACAGUUGAAUAUUAACUUUUGCUGAUUUGUGUAUCAGGGAAUAAGAACACAUGAUGUCAUGUUCGGAGAGAUCACUAUAGAUGAUAUUGGAAUUAUUGUACCAAGGUGGAGAAUGUAGAGAAAGUGGCACAAUGAUGUGGCUGACUGGACCAGCUGACCAUUGACUUUGACUAGUUUUUCUACUAAAUGAAAGAAAUUGUGCUGGGCUAAAAGAAACCCGAUUCACUUUGCCAUAAACGUAAGCUGCAGGAACACAUUUUCUCUUAUUUUAAAUGGAUUGCCCAGAUUUUGCCAAAUGUCAAAUUACCUACUGUUGGAUGAAGACUUAUAAUGGCUUCUAUAUUAAUUGGCUUGGCUGGACGUGAAACAUAGAAUUCAGAUUCCUUAUUUUCUCUCACAUCACAAGUUCCUCUCUGCCUCUCGUCUCUCUCUCUCAGUGGUCCUUCAAUCUAUCAUUUUUUGCACUCCAAAAAUUAGCCCCUAUUGAUGAGAAAUUAAUCCAACCUUGUAUAAAUAAUCUUGAGUGAUUUAACAAAGUGUAUUGGUGUUAUUCUUGAGUGAAUGCCAUUUUCGAAUGUAUAGAGGCUUAUGUUGAAAUAAUCUUGAAUGAUUGUUGUGUAUGCUUCGAUUCAUCAUUCUUGAGUGAAUGUUGUACGGUUUAUGAGG
rnacentral:lncRNA from 1 species